ACUAAAUCGGUUGUCAGAUCUGGAUGCGCCUUAUCUUCUCGCUGCUGCCUGGACCCAACAAGGGAAACCCUAGCCUAGCCGCCUCUCUCUCCUGCUCCUCUCCUCAGAUCUCCGGCCUCCUACUUCCAACUGCCUGCCACCACGGAAGGAUCGAUGGCCUCACCCUUCCUUCCUUGCAACCAACCCCCUGCCACAGUGCACCCUUCUUCCAUGGCGAUGGCGAGAGAGAUGGAUCUAGGCAUCUGGCCCCGCCAGAUCAAGACGCAGGCCCGCUGGCCGGACGGCAGCAACGUACCUCCCCUCCAUGUCCAGAUGGGAAACAGCACGGUCAAGGUACGGUGGCUCCCGGAGACUCUCACGGCGGCCGGGCCGAGCUCCCCCAGCUAGCGCUUGUUCGUCUCAUGGGCGUGUCAAUGACACACAACCCCGGCGAAAUGGAUUUGCUCGUGGCAAGAAGCCCUAUGCUGCUACUGCAUUUGAUGUCUUUUGAAGGUGUCCAUCCUGAUCCAUACGGAGCUUUGCUUAGACACAUGCAUUCCUGGUAUAUGUAGGCGACCUGCAACUCCGCGAAAUGGAUUUGCUAGUGCCACAACAUAUGAUGUCUUGUGUCUUAUGACCCAUGGGCUCUAGGUAAUCGUUUUAUGUUACCCUCCUGCCUACUACUGCUAUCCUUCUCAAAAGAAAGACAAUUAUUUCUACAAACAAGGAUAAGCACAAAUCAACUAACCCAGCUGCCAGGUUGUAGAAAUAAACCAAAAAUACCCAGUCAAACAAAUGGUCUAGAUGCAUCUCUGCUAGGGGAGUGCAGGUUUACCCGAGCCAGUGCUUACCCUUGAUUUUAGACUGCUGGUCACUGUAAGUUGACUUUUUGAACCACAUCCCUUGGCAUCAAGUUAGUAACGAAAUCAUACACAUCCCAAUACUAAUGAAAUUAAUUUAACGCUAAAGCUUUCACCAACAUUCUGCAAUUAAUAAUUAGGAACAUUUCAUCCCAAAUGGACCAUGACUUACUAGCACUCGGUCUACGUUCUCGUAUGUUUGGCUUGUGAACUCAGCACCGUCCAAUGUAUAGCAAACAUGCUCAAAAUUUCUUUAACAGUUUAUGAAUAGUUUUGAAUGAAGGAAGACUUUUUAUUCAACUCAUUCAGCAUCUUUGAGCAUUCAUCUGCAUGUUAUACCUGCUUCCUGCAAGCACCAGAAAGAAAGACAAAGUAAGUUAUGCUACUUCAUUUAUGUUCUCUUCUCACAUUGUGCGCCAGAUGUGGAUGAUGAUGUGCAGCACAAGGUAAAAUAAGAUGAAAUGAUCAAACAGGUUACACUGAUUCCAUCAUUGUUGAACCCAGCUUAACAAAAUGCAUUCUCAGAAGCUUUUUUGUGCCUGGCACUCCCUGGAUAAUGUCAGCUAAUAAACUUGUUUAUCUCUGUUUGGGGGUACAAAAUUAAUUUCUGCUCUUCAUUUUGAAAGUCAAACACUACUAGUAUUCCUUGCUAGUUGUACCUCAGUUAACAGAGAGCUCAAAAAAGCAAGAGUAUGCCGUCAAUAGCACCAUUUUAGCAAAUAGGCAUCUGUCCUUAACUAGUUUGUACUAAAUAUGAAGCAUGCUUCACAUCAAAUUGGUAGUCAGCUUCACAACAUUAUUAAAUAUAUUAGCAUGGUCGAGCAGCUUCACAAAGCUAAGCUGUAGAUAAGUAAACAUGCUUGGGGUUUCUCCCUAUUUGGGGGUACAAAUAGUAUGAGUAUGACAUUCAGUUCAUAGAGAGCUAAUUUCUGUUCAUUUUGAGAGCCAAGCACUAGUAUCAUUCCUAGCUAGGACAUUCAGUUCAUAGAGAGCUCAAAAACAAGCAUGAGUAUGACAUUUUUUGUUUGUUUGAGUUGCACCAGUUCACAACAUUAUCUCUAUUUGAGGGUACAAAACUAAUUUCUGCUGUUCAUUUAGAAAGCCUUGCACCAUUAUUAUUCCUAGCUAGUUGCAUUUCAGUUGAUAGAGAGCUCAAAAAAGUAUGAUUAUGCUGUCAAUAGCACCAGUUUAGCAAAGACACAUGUGUCCUUAACUAGUUUGUACUACGAAUAUGAAGCAUGCUUCACAUCAAAUUGGUAGUCAGCUUCGCAACAUUAUUAAAUAUGUUAACAUGGUUGAGGAGUUUCACAAAGCAAAGCUGUAGAUAAAUAAACAUGCUUGGGGUGGUUUCUCCCUAUUCAGGGUACAAAAGUAUUUUGAGAGCCAAGCACUAGAAUUAUUCCUAGCUAGGACAUCCAGUUCAUAGAGAGCUCAAGAAAGAGGCAUGUCCUUAGAAACAAGUUUGAGCUUGAACAUGAAGCAUGUUUCACAACAUUAUUACAAGUUAGGCAAUUGACAACAUUAUCUCUGUCUGAGGGGUACAAAACUAAUUUCUGCUGUUCAUUUCGAAAGCCUUGCACCGCUAAUUAUUCCUCGCUAGUUGCAUUUCAGUUGAUAGAGAGGUCAAAAAAGCAUGAUUAUGCUGUUAAUAGCACCAGUUUAGCAAAGAGACAUGUGUCCUUAAACAAGUUGUGCUAUGAAUAUGAAGCAUGUUUCACAUCAAACAACUUGACAACAUAGUACUAGGUACAUCCGUUUGAGCGACAAGUAAUUUUGGACGGAGGGAGUAGUAUGUUAGCAUGCAAUUCAACAUAGUGAAAGUGUAGAUAAAUAAACAUGUUUGGUGCGCAAAUUUAGUUUCUGUUGUUCAUUUUGAAAGCCAAGCACUAGUAGUAUUCCUAGCUAGGACAUUCAGUUGAUAGAGAGCUAAAAAACAAGUAUUUUUUUGUUUCAGCUGCACCAGUUUAGCAAAGAAGAGGAGGUACAAGACAUGUAUGUUUGGCUUUACCUUGAUGGUGUGUUCACAAAUGCUUCCCUGAAAGGUGUUUGCUUAACAUGCGACGCUCCGUUCUGCAGAGGUGCAAGCAAAGCAAUUUUGAUAUCAGAGAUGAAAAUGUAGGUGUAGAGAUGGUUGUAAUUUAGGUUGCACUCACAUGGAUGUUAUUCAUAACAGACAGGAGGUGCUAUUUAUGUCAAAAUAAAUCACAGAUUGAUUUUUCCUAGUGUA